GGAUGUGAAGGCGAUCUGGCUGCAGUGUCUGUCACCCCAUUGAUUAGCGUGGCUGAGUUGGCUGGCCUGGCUGGCUAAGUGGGCGCUCUCUUCCUCCCUCACUGCUUCACUUGUGCCCCUGCUCAGUUGAGGAGAAGGGCCUUCCCCAAAUUCAGGGCCAGUCUUCAGUGAAGGCAACUGAGCCCCUUGCUGGAACCUUCAAACCAGUUCUCAUUUUAAAACCUUAAAGAUUUAACAGUAAAGGGGAGAGGAUGGUUUUCAAAUUGUGGGAUUUU
ensembl:misc_RNA 7SK 7SK RNA